rnacentral:misc_RNA from 1 species
GAUGAAGAACGUAGUGAAAUGCGAUAAGUAAUGUGAAUUGCAGAAUUCAGUGAAUCAUCGAAUCUUUGAACGCACCUUGCGCCUUUUGGUAUUCCGAAAGGCACACCUGUUUGAGCGUCAUGAAUACCUCAAUCUCCAUCUUUCUUCGGAUUGAUGGGUGACUUGGAUGUUGAGCCCUGCUGGUAUGCUAUAUCAGCUGGCUUUAAACUUAUUAGCCGGCUCUGUACUGGAUCGGUUUGACUCGACGUGAUAAUAUUAUCGUUGAGGAUGCAUGUCUCAUGCAGCCGGAAAGUAUCAAAGCAGCUUCUAGCUUGCCUUUAGUGCACUUUUACAUUUUAGACCUCAGAUCAGGUGGGACUACCCGCUGAACUUAAGCAUAUCAAUAAGCGGAGGA